rnacentral:rRNA from 1 species
UACGAAGGGGGCUAGCGUUGUUCGGAAUUACUGGGCGUAAAGCGCAUGCAGGCGGAUUGCUAAGUCAGGGGUGAAAGCCCGAGGCUCAACCUCGGAACUGCCUUUGAUACUGGCGAUCUUGAGUCCGGGAGAGGUGAGUGGAACUCCGAGUGUAGAGGUGAAAUUCGUAGAUAUUCGGAAGAACACCAGUGGCGAAGGCGGCUCACUGGCCCGGUACUGACGCUGAGAUGCGAAAGCGUGGGGAGCAAACAGG